UUCCAUAAGGGCAAGUAUUACCCUUAUGAAAGCAUAAGUAGCAGUAGCA
ncrna:unclassified sequences ssNA-helicase RNA